rnacentral:rRNA from 1 species
AUUGAACGCUGGCGGCAGGCCUAACACAUGCAAGUCGAACGAGGGGCGGACGGGUGAGUAAUGUCUGGGAAACUGCCUGAUGGAGGGGGAUAACUACUGGAAACGGUAGCUAAUACCGCAUACCAUCAGAUGUGCCCAGCUGGGAUUAGCUGGUUGGUGGGGUACCGGCUCACCAAGGCGACGAUCCCUAGCUGGUCUGAGGGGAUGACCAGCCACACUGGAACUGGGACACGGUCCAGACUCCUACGGGAGGCAGCAGUGGGGAAUAUGGCACAAUGGGCGCAAGCCUGAUGCAGCCAUGCCGCGUGUAUGAAGAAGGCCUUCGGGUUGUAAAGUACUUUCAGCGGGGAGGCGUUACCCGCAGAAGAAGCACCGGCUAACUCCGUGCCAGCCGCCGCGGUAAUUC